GACGAACGCUGGCGGCGUGCUUAACACAUGCAAGUCGAGCGGAAAGGCCACUUCGGUGGUACUCGAGCGGCGAACGGGUGAGUAACACGUGAGUAAUCUGCCCCUGGCUUUGGGAUAGCCACCGGAAACGGUGAUUAAUACCGGAUAUGACACAUUCUCGCAUGAGUUUGUGUGGAAAGUUUUUCGGCCAGGGAUGUGCUCGCGGCCUAUCAGCUUGAUGGUGAGGUAAUGGCUCACCAUGGCUUCGACGGGUAGCCGGCCUGAGAGGGUGACCGGUCACACUGGGACUGAGACGCGGCCCAGACUCCUACGGGAGGCAGCAGUGGGGAAUAUUGGACAAUGGGCGGAGGCCGGAUCCAGCAACGCCGCGUGGGGGAUGACGGCCUUCGGGGUGUAAACCUCUUUCAGUACCGACGAAGCGCAAGUGACGGUAGGUACAGAAGAAGCACCGGCAAACUACGU
rnacentral:rRNA from 1 species